AUUCAAGAUAACGCCGAGUGAGUAAUUGCUAAUCUUCCUGAUGUGCCUGGUAACUGACAUGUAAUCGUAACCUCACCCAGGAGGAGAUGGAGCGACGUGAAGUUUAUAUCAAGUUCAUAAUCUGUCCAAAACACCUCAUCUCAUCUACUUAUGGUUUUGAAAGUCUGGCAGCGAAUUGCUUUCCCUCCUCGAGCCCCACGGACCUGUGAGGAACCUGCUGGGAGGAACCUGCUGGGGACCACCAUCAGGUAGAACCACCAUCAGAUAGACCCACCAUCACCUAGAACCACCAUCAGAUAGACCCACCAUCACAUAGAAGCACCAUCACGUAGAACCACCAUCACGUAGAACCACCAUCACGUAGAACCACCAUCAGAUAGAAGCACCAUCACAUAGAACCACCAUCAGAUAGAACCACCAUCCACAGAAGCCUGUGGGGAGCAAGAGCACUACGACUUUAGGGGAGCGUAUUGUUGGUUUACGAUGACAGUAACAGUAAUGUGAUAUUUAAAACAACAAUAAUGAGGAUGGUGGCAGCAGCAGGGGUCAGCAGGGUCACGGCAGGAGGCAGGAACAGGGUCCAGAUUGAACCAAGAUUCAUGGAAACCUGUGAGGUGAGAAAGCACAAAUACUUGGAAGAAACAAAGUUAGUGAUGCGCAGUAAAGUUUACAGUAAUAGAAAUGGGAAUAUUAAUAGUGUUAGAAGUGAUAGUUUAUCAAGAAAGCUUACUUAUCAAAAUGGAUCAACUUCAUUUGACAAUUCUUGCUGAUGGAUUUUAUUGGCUGCGGAACAGGAGCUCUGAAGGAAAUUGCAUAAACAUUUCCGCCGUGGAUUUUCUGGUGUAAAUAAAGUUGAAGGUUUUAAAUCUGGCAACUUGUAACAAGUUUUGUGAGCAAACAAUUACAGUUCAGCUUAUUGAAAUGUCUCUUUCAUGCCUGCAAUAUUUUCCUAACCUUAAUCUCAAUGAACGUAUACCUGCGAAUGCAAACAAUAGCGGUUUGUUUCUUAAAGAUGCUGAUCUUGACGGAUUGAUUGAAAAGGAAAAGACCCUCUCAUUGUGUUUGCCCACAGCGUUUCCCCUCAGCUUUCCUCUUCGCGCUCCCAGUCCCACCUGGAGCGCCGCUGACGGAUAGAUGCAUUGACAGGAGACCCCCGCCAGGCUCCUUAAACACCCAUUGUUCUACACAAAGGUCAACCUCCGAGCAGUGGAUUGUUGUCAUGCAGCAGCAACACCAGAGGGAACGCAUGAGAUCAGAAGUGUGCAAGCAACACGGAAGACUACACACCCACAGAUUAAAAGCACUUUCAUUUUUCAAACAAUCGGUUUCUAAUUUGGUUUUGUGUACUAAAAACUAUCCUUGACUGAGGUGUUUAGUGGAUAAAUCAUCACGUACAUCAAACAUCCGAUCUGUCUGGAUCAGGAGACUUUAAUCAUCUUUAAAUCACCACAUGAAUUAUUACGUUUCCAUUGUGUGACCGAUCACCUGAUCUUCUGUUUAGUGGCCCUGUUGGGGGAUCAACAUCUGGAUGCUUGGAGGCUCCAGUGGAACUACAAGAUUGAUGUUUUGUUGGUUCGGGGGGAAAUGGCUGCUUGGAGGAGGGUCCCUGAAGUCUAAUUAUUCUUAGUUCUCUGAAUUUCAAUGCAGGCAAGGACGUUGUUUCUUUCCGCUAACACACUGUUAGCAAGGCCUCCAUGGACCCCCCGUGAGAAACCACCUUGCCCCCCAUGCUCUGACCUACGUGGUGGUUCAGCACACCAGGAAGGAUGACGCUUCCCUCCCAGUCUGGUUGUGUUGUAUAUCUUUAGUUCAUGGCGGGACUUUCAAUAUGAGCAGCAAAGAAGCGUAGUUAGGACCCCUGUAGGGGGGCAUCUAUUGCCGGCAGGGCAAAGAGUCGAGAAUGAUUAGUUCGUACCGAGCCACCUUGUGGUUUCCUCAGUGGGCCUUGUGGUCUCCUCAGUUGGCCUUGUGGUCUCCUCAGUGGGCCUUGUGGUCUCCUCAGUGGGCCUUGUGGGCUCCUCAGUUGGCCUUGUGGUCUCCUCAGUGGGCCUUGUGGUCUCCUCAGUUGGCCUCGUGCCGUUUUUGGCUCCAUAGCUCCUUGAUUUAGUUUAGAGCCUUUUUGUGAUUGAUUGUUUGAGGAUUAUUUCCUCUGUGAGAGAGAUUUUGGUUUUGCAUUUGUUAACUAUUCAGCUCCCUUAGUUUAGCCAGAGCUUUCCCCCGUUCAUCUCUCUUCGGAGAAGUUUUUUGUUCCCAGGGAAAUAAAAGCGUCAGCUGAACCUCAACUCUGCGUCCGAGGCCUCCUCAGGAGCUUCCUCCGUGACAGAUUAGGAGCAUUCAUAGUAACUUUUAUUGCAAUAUAGAAAUCUGUAUCCAGGACACUGAUUACUAAAAAACGUAUUUCUCUCCCUCUUCUGGCCCAGUUUGUCCUAAAGUUGAUAGCAUGAGUGUAUUUAACACAAACACGCCGCUGAGUUCAAAGGUGGCGGAAAAAACAUCCAGUUGGCAGAAUGAACUGGAAAACUCGUGCAACAGGCUUCUUUUCAGCAGAGGGGAUCCAAACGCCCCCGACGGACUGAUAGUGAGAAUAGUGAGGUCAUGGGAGGAGGCAUGCUGUGAUACGCACUGAGCAGACCAUUGUUGGAUCAUCGACACUGUGAUGCUGCACAGGGAUAGCAGAGGCUGGAUGGUGUUGGAUUAUAUUUAUGAAUAUGUGAAUAUCUUAUGGAUAGAUCAUGUGACAAUAUGGAUUUAUUUUAUCAGUUGCUCAAAUACUCUUUUUUUUGAUAAAACUUCCUGACAAACCUCAGUCUGUCUUACCGCCAUGCUGCUAAAUGAAUGUGGCGCUGUGGAGUUUUUAUUGUGCUACAAUAGCAGUAAAUUCUCAGCACACAUUUUUCCAGUCAACAUCUGGAACGAUGCCACAGCUCUCAUUAUGGCCCCAAUGCUGCAGCCUUGUUUCAGAGACCUGUUUACGGCUUCUGGGUCGACUUCCCAGGGAGAUUCUUCUGCAUUUCUACUCUACAUAAACUGCUGUUCCAGGUUCAAACUGCACCAUCUUUUAUCAAAUGCAUGUGAGACUUCUUCUCUUUGGUCACGUCACCCAGCCCGACCAGUUGAGAACCACUGUUCACCUCCUGCAUCGUCAGCACCGCCGUGCGUGGAUCAGAUCCUGCGGGUGGUUUCUUUCAUUUCACAUCACAAACAAACCGACGAUCUUUGAUUAUUUGGUCCACACAAAACCAACGACAGUGUCCGUGGAAAGUUCCAGGAUGUCGUCAACACGGCGUGGGCGUGAAAGCAACGUAGAGACCAGACGAUGUUUAAAGGGCGCUGAGCUGAAAUAAGCUGUGGAAACAACAGUGGAACGUUUCCCCGCUAGCUCGCAUGCAUAAACAGUUGCUCAUCAGAUCGACACGUCCACCAUGUGGGGAGCAACGUUAGCGUGAUAAUCUGAGCACAUCCAGUCCCUCUCCUUGGUGGAGAACAGCUCCUGUGAGAAAUGCUCCACUGUGUUCACCGCGUGGUCUCUAGAUGAGUGUCUGCUGGGUGGUGCUGGGCCACCAUCGUCCCCUCGUGAGCCUUCAAAUACAGAAUUGUCACAUGUAGUGACAUGAAGUCCAAGCCCGCACAGUGAAUCAUUUAUGUGCAUUCUGAUGUUACUGAUAUGCUUCAGGUGCUCACCGUACUCUAAAGCAGCUCUUCAUUGCCGUUC
ensembl:lncRNA